rnacentral:rRNA from 1 species
AGAGUUUGAUCAUGGCUCAGGACGAACGCUGGCGGCAUGCCUAACACAUGCAAGUCGAACGGGGAUACGAGAGCUUGCUUUUGUAUCUUAGUGGCGGACGGGCGAGUAACGCGUGAGCAACCUGCCCUUCAGUGGGGAAUAACGUCUGGAAACGGACGCUAAUACCGCAUAACACAACGGAGCCGCAUGGCUUUGUUGUCAAAGGAUUUAUUCGCUGAAGGAUGGGCUCGCGUCCGAUUAGCUAGAUGGUGGGGUAAAGGCUCACCAUGGCGACGAUCGGUAGCCGAACUGAGAGGUUGAUCGGCCGCAUUGGGACUGAGACACGGCCCAGACUCCUACGGGAGGCA